AGAGUUUGAUCAUGGCUCAGAUUGAACGCUGGCGGCAUGCCUUACACAUGCAAGUCGAACGGUAACGCGGGGCAACCUGGCGACGAGUGGCGAACGGGUGAGUAAUGCCUAGGAAUCUGCCUGGUAGUGGGGGAUAACGUCCGGAAACGGGCGCUAAUACCGCAUACGUCCUGAGGGAGAAAGUGGGGGAUCUUCGGACCUCACGCUAUCAGAUGAGCCUAGGUCGGAUUAGCUAGUUGGUGGGGUAAAGGCCUACCAAGGCGACGAUCCGUAACUGGUCUGAGAGGAUGAUCAGUCACACUGGAACUGAGACACGGUCCAGACUCCUACGGGAGGCAGCAGUGGGGAAUAUUGGACAAUGGGCGAAAGCCUGAUCCAGCCAUGCCGCGUGUGUGAAGAAGGUCUUCGGAUUGUAAAGCACUUUAAGUUGGGAGGAAGGGCAGUAAGUUAAUACCUUGCUGUUUUGACGUUACCAACAGAAUAAGCACCGGCUAACUUCGUGCCAGCAGCCGCGGUAGUACGAAGGGUGCAAGCGUUAAUCGGAAUUACUGGGCGUAAAGCGCGCGUAGGUGGUUCAGCAAGUUGGAUGUGAAAUCCCCGGGCUCAACCUGGGAACUGCAUCCAAAACUACUGAGCUAGAGUACGGUAGAGGGUGGUGGAAUUUCCUGUGUAGCGGUGAAAUGCGUAGAUAUAGGAAGGAACACCAGUGGCGAAGGCGACCACCUGGACUGAUACUGACACUGAGGUGCGAAAGCGUGGGGAGCAAACAGGAUUAGAUACCCCGGUAGUCCAA
rnacentral:rRNA from 1 species